rnacentral:rRNA from 1 species
AGAGUUUGAUCCUGGCUCAGGGUUAACGCUGGCGGCGUGCCUAACACAUGCAAGUCGAACGGUUCUAAGCGCGAGCUUAGGAUAGUGGCGAACGGGUGAGUAAAAGGUAGGAAUCUACCCCUUGGACGGAGAUAGCUACUAGAAACGGUAGGUAAACUUCGAUAAGCCCGAGAGGGGAAAGUGGUGAGACAGCCGAGGGAUGAGCCUACUCUCCAUCAGGUAGUUGGUGAGAUAAAAGCUUACCAAGCCGAUGACGGAUAACCGGUGUGAGAGCAUGAACGGUCACAAGGGCACUGAGAGACGGGCCCUACUCCUACGGGAGGCAGCAGUGGGGAAUCUUGGACAAUGGGCGAAAGCCUGAUCCAGCGACGCCGCGUGGAGGAAGAAGUCCUUCGGGAUGUAAACUUCUGAACUAGCCGAAUAAAAGGCCUGUGGACACACAGGAGAAGAAAGUAGGCUAGGAAAAGUCCCGGCUAACUACGUGCCAGCAGCCGCGGUAAGACGUAGGGGGCAAGCGUUACCCGGAAUUACUGGGCGUAAAGGGGGCGUAGGCGGUAAAAGAAGUCAUCUGUGAAAACCUAUUGCUCAACGAUAGGCUAGCGGAUGAAACUGAAUUACUUGAGGGCACCAGAGGUAGACGGAAUUACCCGAGUAGGGGUGAAAUCCGCAGAUACGGGUAGGAACGCCGGUGGAGAAGUCGGUCUACUGGGGUGCACCAGACGCUGAGGCCCGAAAGCUAGGGGAGCAAACCGGAUUAGAUACCCGGGUAGUCCUAGCCGUAAACGAUGCUCACUANGUGUAGGGAGUGAUAAACUCUCUGUGCUGAAGCGAACGCGCUAAGUGAGCCGCCUGGGGAGUACGUCCGCAAGGAUGAAACUCAAAGGAAUUGACGGGGUCCGCACAAGCGG